rnacentral:tRNA from 1 species
GCCCCGAGAAGCUAAAACUCAGCAGUGGUCUUGUAAACCACAGAUGGCUUACACCCCGAGGCU